CUUUCAGAGCUCUGGAUGCAUUCAUUUCUCCCUCGGCUGCAAUGACCUGUGGAACAGCAGAAGGAGGGAUCAAAAUGGAGAAAACGGCAGGGUACCAAACAAAGACAAUUCAAAAUACUGUGUAUGGGUUGAGAAAGUGAAUCACUCUUAUGACUGCAUACAAAUAUAUUUGCAAGUCAGAGGUAUUUCAAAGAAAGGAAAGAAGACCUUAUCGAACUGAAAGAUGCUAGAUCAUUAAAAAUAUUUUUUUUGUA